AUUGAACGCUGGCGGCAUGCCUUACACAUGCAAGUCGAACGGCAGCACGGGUGCUUGCACCUGGUGGCGAGUGGCGAACGGGUGAGUAAUACAUCGGAACAUGUCCUGUAGUGGGGGAUAGCCCGGCGAAAGCCGGAUUAAUACCGCAUACGAUCUACGGAUGAGAGCGGGGGACCUUCGGGCCUCGCGCUAUAGGGUUGGCCGAUGGCUGAUUAGCUAGUUGGUGGGGUAAAGGCCUACCAAGGCGACGAUCAGUAGCUGGUCUGAGAGGACGACCAGCCACACUGGGACUGAGACACGGCCCAGACUCCUACGGGAGGCAGCAGUGGGGAAUUUUGGACAAAGGGCGAAAGCCUGAUCCAGCAAUGCCGCGUGUGUGAAGAAGGCCUUCGGGUUGUAAAGCACUUUUGUCCGGAAAGAAAUCCUUGGCCCUAAUACGGUCGGGGGAUGACGGUACCGGAAGAAUAAGCACCGGCUAACUACGUG
rnacentral:rRNA from 1 species